AUGUCCAUUUCCAUGGUGGGCAGGGUAUCGAUUUAAUCGCCAAUGGCAAGAGCAAGAAGACCAAGCGAACCGCACCAAAAUCUAAAGAUAUUUACCUCAAGCUUCUCGUCAAAUUGUAUUGGUUUUUGGUGUAGAGGACUAGAAGCAACUUCACUGCUGUAAUAUUGAAGAGGCUGUUCAUGAGCAAGGUUAACAAAGCUCCGAUGUCUCUAUCUAGAUUGAUUCGCUUUAUGCAAGGGAAGAGGAUAAGAUAGCUGUGAUUGUGGGGACGGUUACUGAUGAUACUAGGGUUUAUGAGGUCCCGGCACUGAAGGUGGCUGCUUCGAGGUUUAUGGAAAGGGCAAGGGCAGGGAUAUUGAAGGUUGGAGGAGAAUUCUUGAUUUUCGACCAACUUGCGCUUAGGGCUCCUCUUGGCCAGAAUACGGUAUUGACUCCAUGAUCUUUUA